CGGAGCGACGCGCGUGCGGGAUGAAGGCCUUCGGGUUGUAAACCGCUGUCAGUGGGGAGCAAAUGCAUCGGGGUUCUCCCGGUGUUGAGCGAUCCGCAGAGGAAGCACAGGCUAAUUCCGUGCCAGCAGCCGCGGUAAUACGGAAUGUGCAAACGUUAUUCGGAAUCACUGGGCUUAAAGAGUCCGUAGGCGGCUUGUUAGGUGAGGUGUGAAAUCCCCCGGCUCAACCGAGGAAUUGCGCUUCAAACCGGCGAGCUUGAGGAAGAUAGAGGUGGGCGGAACUGAUGGUGGAGCGGUGAAAUGCGUUGAUAUCAUCAGGAACACCGGAGGCGAAAGCGGCCCACUGGGUCUUAUCUGACGCUGAGGGACGAAAGCUAGGGGAGCGAACGGGAUUAGAUACCCCGGUAGUCCUAGCCUUAAACGAUGAGCACUAGACCGAAGGAUUUCCACAAUUUUUUGGUCGUAGCGAAAGUGUUAAGUGCUCCGCCUGGGGAGUAUGGUCGCAAGGCUG
rnacentral:rRNA from 1 species